GUGGAGCAAUCCAUGAGUAAAGUGGCGACCGGGUGAGUAACACGUGACUAACCUACCCUCGAGUGUGGAAUAACAUCGGGAAACCGAUGCUAAUACCGCAUAACAUCGCAAGAUCAAAGGAGUAAUCCGCUUGAGGAGGGGGUCGCGGCUGAUUAGCUAGUUGGCGGGGUAACGGCCCACCAAGGCGAAGAUCGGUAGCCGGCCUGAGAGGGCGCACGGCCACACUGGAACUGAAACACGGUCCAGACUCCUACGGGAGGCAGCAGUGGGGAAUUUUGCGCAAUGGGGGAAACCCUGACGCAGCAACGCCGCGUGGAGGAUGAAGCCCCUUGGGGUGUAAACUCCUUUCGACCAAGGCGAUAAUGACGGUACUGGUGGAAGAAGCACCGGCUAACUCUGUGCCAGCAGCCGCGGUAAUACAGAGGGUGCAAGCGUUGUUCGGAAUUAUUGGGCGUAAAGGGUGCGUAGGCGGUGCGGUAAGUCACCUGUGGAAUCUCCAAGCUUAACUUG
rnacentral:rRNA from 1 species